rnacentral:rRNA from 1 species
AUUGAACGCUGGCGGCAGGCUUAACACAUGCAAGUCGAGCGGGGUGAUGGUGCUUGCACUAUCACUUAGCGGCGGACGGGUGAGUAACGCGUGGGAACGUGCCCUUUAGGUCGGAAUAACCCAGGGAAACUUGGGCUAAUACCGGAUACGCCCUUCGGGGGAAAGAUUUAUCGCUAAAGGAUCGGCCCGCGUAAGAUUAGCUAGUUGGUGAGGUAACGGCUCACCAAGGCUAUGAUCUUUAGCUGUUCUGAGAGGAAGAUCAGCCACACUGGGACUGAGACACGGCCCAGACUCCUACGGGAGGCAGCAGUGGGGAAUAUUGGACAAUGGGCGCAAGCCUGAUCCAGCCAUGCCGCGUGAGUGAUGAAGGCCUUAGGGUUGUAAAGCUCCUUUACCAGGGAAGAUAAUGACGGUACCUGGAGAAUAAGCCCCGGCUAACUUCGUGCCAGCAGCCGCCGUAA